CCAAGAAAUCAUGCUAUUUUGUGGUUAAAUACAGCCUGUUAUUAGUCAAAAAUAUGCAUAUUUAAGCAUUUAUGUAUUUUUUUUAAUUGAGCAUUCUCAAACAUAAAUUACUGUAGCUUAAUUAAAGUAAAGUACAAAUAUAAGGCAUUCGGAAGAUGCAUUCAAAGACAUUGUGAUGAUAUGUAGUACUCUACACUGGUCACUAGGAGUCACUAAUGUUACUGUAAUGUUCAGAGAGACACACAAGCACCAGACUUGAUUGCUGGCACGACAGGCUUUUAUUGCAGGCUUGAAUUCUUUCACAACAGGCACAUUGACACGGGCUACUGAUGCGGCCGUAACCCACGCCAAGCUAAAACUCAAUUCUGAACCCUACUACGUCACUUCCUGCCCACCCCGACACUCAGCUUCCUUAGCACCAGGACACAUUUACACCAACACGCGUGAGCAUGAGUCUUAUUUAUGCGCUUAUUUUCUACUAUAUUGGGUAAUAAGAGUGUAAAGGUGACUAUAGUGGUGUUAUUUCAUGUUUAGAGGGCUUUAAUAAUGUUAAGAACCAUAUUUACUGUAGAAGGUCGUAAACAGGUUUUCUAUGCUCAGACUACGAAAAUAUUCAAUUUAUAAGUCUUAUUUAGAUCUUAAAUGGCUUAUUUACUUGACUAUAUUGGGUGAAAGGAGUGUAAGGGUGACUAUAGGGAUGUUAUUUCAUGUCUAGAGGGCUCUAAUAAUGUUUUAAAAAAGUGCAUUUAGAAGGUCGGAAACAGGUUUUCUAUGCUCUAACUACAACGGUAUUCCAUUUAUUUAUUCCAUUUAUACGCAGAAACCAAUUAACUGUGAUAAACGAGGGAUUACUGUAUUUGAAAACCUUCUGUAUAGUGUAGAUGGAGAUUAGAUAGUUAGUUUUGUAGUGUUUAUUGGAAAAAAAAGAUAGUUGAUACAGAUGUGACACACUCUUACUUUUUAAUCAGUAAUUGUUGUGUAGAUAUCAGUCAUUUUUUGGACCAAAAAAACCAACAACAGUUGAGUUGAUUGGGUGUCUGUCAUGGGACUGCAGGUCACCUGACAUCCCUCCUGCUGGACUCAACGUCGUCCAUUAGGACAAUUUAAUAAACCUGCUUGACGUCAUUCUGUAAAAUAUAUCACAUUUUUCUGCCUGUUCCAUUUCGUCUUACUCAGGGUUGAAGUGGUUACUAUAAAAUUAUUCGUGAUAGUUUGUCCAGGCCGCUUCAUGCUCCACGGUUGCCUAAUUGCAUUUCACAGUAAGCAUCGCGGUGUGGGCAGAUUUGGGUAGAAUCAAGACAAGAACAGCCAGAAGACAUUUAUCUUCAGAUCAGCAUCUGCAUGGAGCUGCUUAGACACUCUGUGGAAGACUUGAACACAUUGUAGUGCUUUUAGAGGUGAAAACUUGAUGAAAACAACAAAAUAGAACGUUUCAGAGCGUCAGCAGCAAGGAGAGAUGGUGCAGCUGGUUUCCCUGCUGCUUUUUCUUCUUUUACUUCCAGCUGUGAUUCCUCUCUUUUGUUACACCUGUGUCUUUCCCGCCACCGCACCUCUGGAAUGCAUCAGGUUCCCUGUCCAGUGUCCUGAAGGGCAAGUCUGUCUGUCCAGCAGAGCUGUGGGGCAGAAAGGAGACUUCCGCGUGAUGAUGUACGAGAGGAGCUGCAUCCAGCCCUCCCUCUGUAGCGUCUCAAGUGAAAAACCCAUCAUGGGGCUCAACUUCACCUUCACCAACGACUGCUGCGACAAGCACCUGUGCAACGCAGCUGCAACGCCCGCUGCCCCCUACUGGUUGGCCACACUGCUCACACCCCUUGUGUCAUACGCGUUGAAAUGGCACACGCACUUGUAGAGACUCGCUUUGGGAUUGUGCAAAGUGAAGAAAAGUGUCACUCAAAAAAAGUAGACAGACAGAGAUGGCAUCAUGGUUGGCGCUAUUAGGCUAUUGUACAUAUUGUAACAAACAUACCUUUUUAAUAGUGUUUUUCAUGGGCAGAGAUGUACAUAACCAUACACAUCCAUCCCACCACCUUCCCUUCUUCUUCUUCUUGAAAUGGCGGUUAGUACAGUGUACAUUUGGCAGACCCCUAGUAUCACCUAUGAUUCAUUGUUUACAACACAUUGCAACUGUUAUGCUGCAGGCACUCAAGACAACCACUGGCUAGCAAGCUCACGAGCUAACCAGUUAGCCUUGAAUGUAUUCCUUGUAAACCUAAGAAGCCAAAAAUGUACCACUUUCACACUGAAUGGGAGGAGAACUUUUUUUCACUCUGUCAUGUCGGACAUGCCAUGGCUGACAUCAUGACUUCAUGUCUCAGUGUUUUGUUACUGCAGACUAGUGACUGAAAUACUACAUAUCACUUGUAUUUCAAUAUGUCUUGACUAUUAGUAAACAAUAGUCUACCUCAAAACAGCAAUUUUAAAAAAUUUAUUGAUUAAUUAAAAAAAAAAGCCGCGAUAUAGCGAGGGAGCGAUAAUCGAACCGCUAUAUUGCGAGGGACGACUGCAUUACCGCCACUACCAGUGUGUAACAGGAAUUGCAUCUGCUAAAUUUUCCAUUUUGAUUUCGGGGUGCCGGUGCGCUGGUCUACCACAAGAUGGUUUCUUGCUCAACUCUAAAUCAAUCAUCAAUCAAUCAUCAAUCAUCUAUGUAUCGCCGUUGUUUCAGUGUCACUGCUGGCAACAUGUCAGGUUUAAUCAGUCUGGCAGUGUUGAUUCAGCGACUGUUCUUUCAUUGAAAUUUCAUUGUCAAGCAUUCUGAUGGAAAUUCAACAACAAUCAACAUUGUUUCAAUGUUACCUUGCUAUCUGGGAUAUGAGAUUAGAAGUAUGACAGGAACUCCUUCCUCCCCCCUCGCAUAAACGGUGCUUUCACUGCAAAUUGUAUAUUUACAAUCCAGAGGCCAAACUUGUGAGUAAUUCCACGCCGUGGACAUACCGAGCUAGCAGCCUUGUUGCUGUGUGGAGCGUGACGUCACUCACGCGCCCAUAUUAUCGGCAGAAAACCAAUAGAUGUCAGCCGAUCUCAUUUUUAUGCCAAUAUUGUCCGAUAAUCUCAAAUCAACAUGGACUCCAAAGUCGAUCACAAAGUGUUCCAUGAUCCUGAUUGACUUCCAAGUUCAUUUCAAAACCAUUUACAGUCGUACCUCGUCUAUCGUGGAAUUUCCGUAAAGAAGGAUUCAAUAUUAGCACAUUGAAUAUUUUUUUAGUUUGAGCAUAGAAAACCUGUGUAUGCCCUUCUAAAUAUGGUUUUAACCGUUAUUAGGCUCCUGUAGACAUGAAAUAACACCCCUUUAGUCACCUGUACACUCACGUUAUCUAAGACAGUAGCCAUAAUAAACGUUAAUAAGACAUAAUAACUCAUACAUUAGCACUGGGAAAGCUGCUUGUUGUUGUAGUAUCUCUGCAGGGAUGCCUCUUUAAGCAUUGCAAGCUACCAAGCUAACUAGUUAGCCUCCAAUUUAUUUAUUCUAGAGUUAAGAAAGUGUUUCAAACUGAGUCGGGAAGAAGGACAAAGUAAGAAGCAAAACACACACCACAACAAUGUAACAUUACUAGUCCAGGCCUAGUGACCAGGAUAUGAGUAGUGACUAGUCUUUCAGUCUUAGCAUGUAAUUAGAAAACUGAAGGUAUCCUUCAUUUAUUUCUGCAUACGACCCUCCGUCUUAUAGUGUCAAUACACUAAAUGUAACUAAUUUUUCCUUUUUCCACAUCACUUUGAAAGAACUUGUUUAUUCGAGCUGCCAUGUGUUAACGAUAGAUUCAACAAAAAAUGGGCUGUAUCGCUGCCAAUGACUUAAAUGUCACCAAAAAGACACCGAGACUCGCAUUAAUAAUGGCGCUCAAACCAUGUGAGUGAUUCUAAUGGAAUGAAAUCAAAUUUCAAUUAAAAAAAGGAUCGCUUUUAUUGUAUGAAAUUAAUCUCAAACAGUUUAUUGUCAGUGUGCAAGAAAUAGAAAAUGUACAACUAACAUCGUCCCUUCCUUAAAAAGACACAACAUUGAAUCAUUUAGAAGGAUAGUAGGGGUGUAACUUUGUACAAAUACUUUUGACAGGCAUUACAUGUAACAAAUAACAGUAUUUUACACCCCUGAAGGUACACUGAGGUUGUAUGUGUCCAAGCUUUGGAGUUUUCUUGUGGGCUCACGUUGCAUCUAUGUCGAAUGUCCAAGUAACCUCCAAGUCAGGAAGUUAUCUUUUUGCAUAUUCUUUAUUAAUAUUUAAGGGUCAAAUAAACGGGAAGUUGAUAUUUUAUUGCUCUUUGCUCCAUUCACAACGCCGUCUGUGUGGCGUCAGCACUGUUGUGUGACCUUUCCCCCCGAGGUUUCGGCUCUAAAUUUGAGGCGCUAACGAUCGCUUGCUCCGCUCUGCUGCCGCCGCUGCUGUUGUCACCGUUUACCGCCGGCUGGCGAUCCGGAUCCGAAUCCACGGGAGGUGACAUCAUCCUUUCUGUGUGCUCGCUGGCUGCUCUGUCAGUCACAAUCAGGUAGUUGGGCUCCAGCUGGUGGGCGCUGGAGCGACGCUGCAAAGCGUGCUGGGUACACGAGAAGGAGCGCUGCCGGGGGGCCGGCUGGGGUGACAGGAAGUGAGGCGUGACCGCUCUGGGAACUUCCUGCUGCCGCUCCCGGUCCUCGUCCUCCGAGGUCACCUCCUGCAAAGUGCUGAUUGGCCGAGGGGAGCGGCCCAUGACUCGGGGAGGCACCAGCGCCGUUGCCGAUUGGUUGAGCUGCGGUCGCCAGUUCUGAGGGGGCGGGUAUUGUACGCUGCCCAUGGACCAGUUACUGUCGAGACAUCAUUUAAUAAUCACUACAGAUUCACCGUGAAUACACUUAGACCUGGUAGGUGUUCCCCAAAAACCCCAAAAAUAUUGUCACUGCCAUCUACCCUUCCAUAGCCAGGACAUAUUUGGGUUCUUUCCGCUUUCAGACAAUACGAUAAUACCCUCACCUGAGACUGACUUGAGUUCCCGAGUGAUAAUUCUGACUGUUUACCUCUGCGGCGGUGGCGUCAUGUCUCGAGGCGCGACCAUGCCGGAGAAGGAGGCGCUUCGUCCAGGCAGCCCUUGCGUCCCGACCCACGGCGAGUACAUCAAAGCGCGCUCUUCCCAUAUCAUUUCGUUGGCAGAGUCGACCGGGGCGGGUACUCUUUGAAUUUGGUGGGCCAACAGGAGCUCCAGGACUUGGUGAUGCAGGCCUUCCCUGGCCACGUCCACCGGGCGGCGCCCUCUGCGGUCAUGGAGCUCCAGGUUGGCGCCGUGGAGGAGGAGAAGUCGGGUGGUGUCGUAGCAACCGUAGAAGGCGGAGAGGAAAAGAGGGGUUUCACCCUGGUGGGUGAAUAUUGAUUUAAUAUCCCCAACCCAUCUUUUGAAAAGAUGGCUGUGUUGGCAUGACGACCAUUACCUUAUUAUCCUGCAGGUCCACGGCCGCGCCAUAACGGACAAGCGUCCUUGUUAGGGAGAGGUGGUUAACUGAGCAUGCCCAGUGCAGGGCCGAUCUCCCUGAGAGAGAGUUAAGCCCGGGUGGAGGAGCGGGAGAAGGCAUGGAUGUUUGGAGAUGUACGCGCAUGUGAGGAAGACAAGAUGCAGAGGAAGAGGGCGGCAAACAAAGUUAACGCUUGUUUACGAGCGUGAGGCGCCAGCAUUAACUUUGUUCUGAGUCAGAGGAAGGCAGCAGGGGAGCUGGAGGAGGAAGAGAGGGAAGACAUGGGAGGAAGGAGGUAAGUUACAGCAGAUACUCAAGUCUUCAGAUGAACCUUUUCAUGCUUUUUUAUGUGCAGAUAUGGUCCGGAACAGCUCUCUAACAGAUAAAAGUACAUUUUACACUGACA